GUUUGAUCCUGGCUCAGGAUGAACGCUAGCUACAGGCUUAACACAUGCAAGUUGAGGGGCAGCAUGGUCUUAGCUUGCUAAGGCCGAUGGCGACCGGCGCACGGGUGAGUAACACGUAUCCAACCUGCCGUCUACUCUUGGACAGCCUUCUGAAAGGAAGAUUAAUACAAGAUGGCAUCAUGAGUCCGCAUGUUCACAUGAUUAAAGGUAUUCCGGUAGACGAUGGGGAUGCGUUCCAUUAGAUAGUAGGCGGGGUAACGGCCCACCUAGUCUUCGAUGGAUAGGGGUUCUGAGAGGAAGGUCCCCCACAUUGGAACUGAGACACGGUCCAGACACCUACGGGUGGCAGCAGUCGAGAAUCAUUCACAAUGGGGGAAACCCUGAUGGUGCGACGCCGCGUGGGGGAAUGAAGGUCUUCGGAUUGUAAACCCCUGUCAUGUGGGAGCAAAUUAAAAAGAUAGUACCACAAGAGGAAGAGACGGCUAACUCUGUGCCAGCAGCCGCGGUAAUACAGAGGUCUCAAGCGUUGUUCGGAAUCACUGGGCGUAAAGCGUGCGUAGGCUGUUUCGUAAGUCGUGUGUGAAAGGCGCGGGCUCAACCCGCGGACGGCACAUGAUACUGCGAGACUAGAGUAAUGGAGGGGGAACCGGAAUUCUCGGUGUAGCAGUGAAAUGCGUAGAUAUCGAGAGGAACACUCGUGGCGAAGGCGGGUUCCUGGACAUUAACUGACGCUGAGGCACGAAGGCCAGGGGAGCGAAAGGGAUUAGAUACCCCUGUAGUCCUGGCAGUAAACGGUGCACGCUUGGUGUGCGGGGGAUCGACCCCCUGCGUGCCGGAGCUAACGCGUUAAGCGUGCCG
rnacentral:rRNA from 1 species